UGAAUGCACAAGAGACUCACACUAUCUGAGAUUUGGACACGUAACACUGCAGACCACUGAUUUGCUAUUUUCUUAAUUCCCGCUCUUCCUAUUCCGUAUGAAUCAAACAGUCUUUUGUCCUUCAGAGUUUGAUUUGAUCGCUACUGUUCACAUUUCACUUUUGUAUUUUUCUCUUCCUAUACCAUUACUCAUUGAGUGCCCCGUGAAAUUACAAUCCUACAUUUUCAACUCAGCAACCCAUUUGCAGUGCAAAAAUAGGGUCUAAAUAAUGGCUGAAUUAGCCCUACUGGACAGUUUCAGAUGUAACACUCUGUAAUAAUUAUAUUGCAGCCUGGAUUAGGAUGCUAUUAUCAUAAUCUGGACGUUUACAAUUAUCUGUAAUUUGCAAAGAUGCGCCAGGUCUUGAUUACAGCAGUUUUUUUUUUUUAUCAAGCUAACCAUCACUAAACAGUGACAGUAAUAACAGCUAAUUUUGCUGGCAAUAUAAGAGGUGCUGGGGUGUGCAAACAAUUUCACACCUGGAUGUGCUCACUCAACCAAGAAUAUAGAGAAAGAGCUUCUGCCCUGAGACUGCUUCUGUUCAGUAUAGAUUUCUAGACCCUGAUCAUUGCUUAACAGAUUUUCACUGGGGGUAGGUUUGCUAGUCGGCUGGAUAGACGUUCAGAGUGGACUUGGUUUCUAUUUAGAUGCGUUGGAAGAAGGCUGAUCGCUAUACCGCAAUAACUCUGAGUGUAAAUCGGUGUUCCCUUGGAGUGUUUGGACUGCUGACCAUAGAAUUUUUUUCUGAGCUUAGCAAUUCCUGGCCACCAAGAGGCUGGGCUCGCAGCUGCAAUACCAUGAAGGCAUAAGCUGGAUCACCUAGGAAAGGACCAGGAUUAUGUGUUAUGACCCUCAUCAUGCAGCACAAGCAGUUUCCACCAUCAUCAAGAACCAGCUUCAAGCCAUUGGUUAAAGUAAAGUAGGACUGGAUAGCACUAUGGAACUUCCAGAAUCCAUGUUGUUCUGAUUUGUACUUUUCCCAUUUGGGUCCAGAGAUCAUACACUGGGAGAUUAGAAACCAUACUUGACCUUGCAGUGAACAAGGCAUAAAUUAGAGAGAGAGAGAGAGAGUUAUUAUGAGAGCGCCAUGCUGUUUUGAUGGACUACUCUUAAAUUGGUGUACAUAACUGAGCUGCUUGGUGGCCUCCUGGACACCCCAGUCGAGUGCAUUGGGGUGGAAUGUUGAGGGUAACUUAAUUCUUGAAGGGAGGGGAAUAAGGUCCAUGCUUCUUACCAAAUUCCAUAGUUUCAGGAACAACCUGCACUUGGGCAGCUGUGAUAUAAAGCAAUAAUGCAACAAUGACCCCAAGAGCAGUGCACAGUUAGUAGCAUCCUUUUGAUGAGAGAUACUACUACGUUGGUUGGUUGUGGUAAUGAUGAUAAUGAACAUAACCGCGCAUGGGUUUCACAAACCUACUUAGGUGCCCCACUCCCAUUAAUAUCAAUGGGAGUGAGGUGCUUCAAUACCUUUGUGAAUCCCAACCUACAGCUCUUAUUUAUUAGGUGGAAUUGAGCACCAAAGUAGAGUCCAAAGGCAAAAGUGCCAAUUAUUGUAGGUUAGAGGACGAGCACAAACCUAUAGAAUAGAAACCCCCUCACGCUGUUACUAUGUGUUAUAUGGGAGGGGCUUCUUCUUUCUGUAAAUUACUGUUAAAAAUAAGAAUGAACAUGAGCAAAGAAAGUCAAGAUUACUGCCAGGUUGUACCAUUUGUUUGGAACCAGAACUCCUCCUUGAUUUCCGUGGCGAGUCCUGCUUACAAACGACUGGCACAAUAAGGCCCAUACAGUACUACAUAAAUUGUACAGCAACUUACACAGCCAGUGAAAUACAUGCAAACAUUAAUUAAGUUAACCUGGCUCAUUCAUAUUCAUGCAUGAGAAAGCCAUUUUCCCUGGAACUUUUCAUACUUCUUGUAUACUACUUGUAUACUACUUUUCAUAAAUCCUUUGAUUUAUGUGCACAGCGCCACAUUGACAAUUCUAUACUUUUCUUAGACGAAAAGUCAAGAGAGGAAAGAGGCAAAUGAGUUUACCUGUCUCUGACCAUGUACAAACUACUCUGGGCCAAAUGGAACUGAUGCUCUAACUAUAAGAGUAUAUAUCAGAAUUCACUAAAUGCAGAGAAUGACCUCCCGAUACAUCAAAGAAUAUUCACAUUAAUGCUUCAUGAGUGUAAUUAACGUUUUUAAGCAUUGCAAGCCUUUUGCACUCUUGUGCUCUGCAGCUUACUAAUCAGCAUGUUUGAUAUUUACUGCUAUUGCUUCUCUGUGUUCAUUGGGUUCGUGGUAACAGAUUCAUGAAUGAAAAAACAACGACAUUUGAAUGCUACAUCUCCUGGCCCAAAGAACACUGAAGUAAAUGGAAAGACUCCCACUGGCUUCACUGGGCUUUGGAUCAGAUCCAGUAGCAUGAAUGAAGAACUGUCCAUCAUUUUGGUCUCAUGCCAGCACUUUUACCUUCCACCUAUAAAAUGGAAAUAAUGAUAUGGACUUCCUUUGUAAAGUGCUUUGAGAUCUCCAGAUAAAAAGUGCAAAAUAAGAGUUAGAUAUUAUUAUAUAAAUAUAAUCCCUUAGACAUUUUAAGCAAUAAAAUAGCAUUCAAAGAGAAAUACUGUAUUUCACUAUCUUUUCUACAGCAUGACUGAAAAACAAAUGUUUUGUUUAAAAAUCAGGCCCCAGAUUCGGUUCUGAGUGCACUGUUCUAUACUAAAAGAAAGACUAGUGAGAGCAAUUACAUGUUCAGAGUCCUGCUCGCUCACAAACGCCUUCCAUUGUGAGAGUGUUUAUGCAACUGUGUGUGUGGCACAAAGGUUUUUACUACCUUCUCUUACAGCAGCCUAUAUAAAAACACUUUCUUUUUGAUUGUUUCUCUUUAUAUUGUCAAGCAUGUUUGCAUUCUAAAGGGUUUUACCUCAUUAAAGCAAUUACUGUUA